GUGGACAACCUGCCUCAAGGCUGGGGAUAACACCUGGAAACAGAUGCUAAUACCGAAUAAAACUUAGUGUCGCAUGACACAAAGUUAAAAGGCGCUUCGGCGUCACCUAGAGAUGGAUCCGCGGUGCAUUAGUUAGUUGGUGGGGUAAAGGCCUACCAAGACAAUGAUGCAUAGCCGAGUUGAGAGACUGAUCGGCCACAUUGGGACUGAGACACGGCCCAAACUCCUACGGGAGGCUGCAGUAGGGAAUCUUCCACAAUGGGCGAAAGCCUGAUGGAGCAACGCCGCGUGUGUGAUGAAGGCUUUCGGGUCGUAAAGCACUGUUGUAUGGGAAGAACAGCUAGAAUAGGAAAUGAUUUUAGUUUGACGGUACCAUACCAGAAAGGGACGGCUAAAUACGUGCCAGCAGCCGCGGUAAUACGUAUGUCCCGAGCGUUAUCCGGAUUUAUUGGGCGUAAAGCGAGCGCAGACGGUUUAUUAAGUCUGAUGUGAAAGCCCGGAGCUCAACUCCGGAAUGGCAUUGGAAACUGGUUAACUUGAGUGCAGUAGAGGUAAGUGGAACUCCAUGUGUAGCGGUGGAAUGCGUAGAUAUAUGGAAGAACACCAGUGGCGAAGGCGGCUUACUGGACUGCAACUGACGUUGAGGCUCGAAAGUGUGGGUAGCAAACAGGAUUAGAUACCCUGGUAGUCCACACCGUAAACGA
rnacentral:rRNA from 1 species